rnacentral:snRNA from 1 species
AAGUGUUACAGCUCCUUCAGGAUUUGUCUAGCAGUUUCCCGGUUUUUACUCCAGCCCCU